UACGGAGGGGGCUAGCGUUGUUCGGAAUUACUGGGCGUAAAGCGCACGUAGGCGGCUUUGUAAGUUAGAGGUGAAAGCCCAGGGCUUAACCCUGGAAUUGCCUUUAAGACUGCAUCGCUAGAAUCGUGGAGAGGUGAGUGGAAUUCCGAGUGUAGAGGUGAAAUUCGUAGAUAUUCGGAAGAACACCAGUGGCGAAGGCGGCUCACUGGACUGGUAUUGACGCUGAGGUGCGAAAGCGUGGGGAGCAAACAGG
rnacentral:rRNA from 1 species